ACAGCAGUCGCCGCGGUAAUACGGAGGGAGCUAGCGUUGUUCGGAAUUACUGGGCGUAAAGCGCACGUAGGCGGCUUUGUAAGUUAGAGGUGAAAGCCUGGAGCUCAACUCCAGAAUUGCCUUUAAGACUUCAUCGCUUGAAUCCAGGAGAGGUGAGUGGAAUUCCGAGUGUAGAGGUGAAAUUCGUAGAUAUUCGGAAGAACACCAGUGGCGAAGGCGGCUCACUGGACUGGUAUUGACGCUGAGGUGCGAAAGCGUGGGGAGCAAACAGGAUUAGAUACCCCCGUAGUCCCUGUCUCUUAUAU
rnacentral:rRNA from 1 species